rnacentral:rRNA from 1 species
GAUGAACGCUAGCGGCAGGCCUAACACAUGCAAGUCGAGGGGUAAAGGAAGCUUGCUUCCUUGAGACCGGCGCACGGGUGCGUAACGCGUAUGCAAUCUACCUUUUACAGAGGGAUAGCCCAGAGAAAUUUGGAUUAAUACCUCAUAGUAUCUUUGCCUGGCAUCGGGUGAUUAUUAAAGUUCCAACGGUAAAAGAUGAGCAUGCGUACUAUUAGCUAGAUGGUAAGGGAACGGCUUACCAUGGCAACGAUAGGUAGGGGUCCUGAGAGGGAGAUCCCCCACACUGGUACUGAGACACGGACCAGACUCCUACGGGAGGCAGCAGUGAGGAAUAUUGGACAAUGGGCGCAAGCCUGAUCCAGCCAUGCCGCGUGCAGGAAGACGGUCCUAUGGAUUGUAAACUGCUUUUGUACGGGAAGAAACACUCCUACGUGUAGGAGCUUGACGGUACCGUAAGAAUAAGGAUCGGCUAACUCCGUGCCAGCAGCCGCCGUAAAAC